GACGAACCGAGCGAACGUUGUUCGGAAUCACUGGGCUUAAAGGGCGCGUAGGCGGGCGGCCGCGUCCGGGGUGAAAUCCCACGGCUCAACCGUGGAACGGCCUCGGGUACGGGCGGCCUCGAGGGGGGUAGGGGCACGCGGAACUAUGGGUGGAGCGGUGAAAUGCAUUGAUAUCCAUAGGAACUCCGGUGGCGAGGGCGGCGUGCUGGACCCCUUCUGACGCUGAGGCGCGAAAGCGUGGGGAGCAAACAGG
rnacentral:rRNA from 1 species